rnacentral:rRNA from 1 species
CCCGCACAAGCGGUGGAGCAUGUGGUUUAAUUCGACGCAACGCGAAGAACCUUACCUGGGUUUGACAUCUUGGGAAUCUUUUAGAAAUAAGAGAGUGCCCCGCAAGGGGAGCCCGAAGACAGGUGCUGCAUGGCUGUCGUCAGCUCGUGUCGUGAGAUGUUGGGUUAAGUCCCGCAACGAGCGCAACCCUUAUCUUCAGUUACCAUCAUUAAGUUGGGGACUCUGGAGAUACUGCCCCGGUUAACGGGGAGGAAGGUGGGGAUGACGUCAAGUCCUCAUGGCCUUUAUAUCCAGGGCUACACACGUGCUACAAUGGUCCGUACAAAGGGUUGCAAGCCUGCGAGGGUGAGCCAAUCCCAUAAAGCGGAUCUCAGUUCGGAUUGGAGUCUGCAACUCGACUUCAUGAAGUUGGAAUCGCUAGUAAUCGUGGAUCAGCAUGCCACGGUCGAAUACGUUCCCGGGCCUU